rnacentral:rRNA from 1 species
UGAGGAAUAUUGGUCAAUGGGCGCGAGCCUGAACCAGCCAAGUAGCGUGAAGGAUGAAGGUCCUAUGGAUUGUAAACUUCUUUUAUAGCAGAAUAAAGUGACCCACGUGUGGGUUUUUGUAUGUAUGCUAUGAAUAAGGAUCGGCUAACUCCGUGCCAGCAGCCGCGGUAAUACGGAGGAUCCGAGCGUUAUCCGGAUUUAUUGGGUUUAAAGGGUGCGUAGGCGGAAAGAUAAGUCAGCCUGUGAAAGUUUGCGGCUCAACCGUAAAAUUGCAGUUGAUACUGUUUUUCUUGAGUGUACAUAAGGUAGGCGGAAUUCGUGGUGUAGCGGUGAAAUGCUUAGAUAUCACGAAGAACUCCGAUUGCGAAGGCAGCUUACCGGGGUACAACUGACGCUGAUGCACGAAAGUGUGGGUAUCAAAC